rnacentral:rRNA from 1 species
UACGUAGGUGGCAAGCGUUAUCCGGAAUUAUUGGGCGUAAAGCGCGCGCAGGUGGUUUCUUAAGUCUGAUGUGAAAGCCCACGGCUCAACCGUGGAGGGUCAUUGGAAACUGGGAGACUUGAGUGCAGAAGAGGAAAGUGGAAUUCCAUGUGUAGCGGUGAAAUGCGUAGAGAUAUGGAGGAACACCAGUGGCGAAGGCGACUUUCUGGUCUGUAACUGACACUGAGGC